rnacentral:rRNA from 1 species
UACGUAGGGUGCGAGCGUUAAUCGGAAUUACUGGGCGUAAAGCGUGCGCAGGCGGUUUUGUAAGCCAGAUGUGAAAGCCCCGGGCUUAACCUGGGAAUGGCAUUUGGGACUGCAAGGCUUGAGUGCGGCAGAGGAGACUGGAAUUCCUGGUGUAGCAGUGAAAUGCGUAGAUAUCAGGAGGAAUACCGAUGGCGAAGGCAGGUCUCUGGGCUGACACUGACGCUCAUGCACGAAAGCGUGGGGAGCAAACGGG